rnacentral:rRNA from 1 species
CAAUAGCGUAUAUUAAAGUUGUUGCAGUUAAAAAGCUCGUAGUUGGAUUUCUGAUCGAGACAUCAGGUCGGGUCCGAGAGGAUCAUGUACUUUGAUUUUGUUUUGAUCAUCCUUGGGGAGAGCAUUUCUGGCAUUCAGUUGUCGGGAUUGGGAUCCUCAUCGUUUACUGUGAAAAAAUUAGAGUGUUCAAAGCAGGCCUCGGCCUCUGAAUACAUUAGCAUGGAAUAAUAAGAUAGGACUUUGGUGGUCUAUUUUGUUGGUUUGUACGCCAAAGUAAUGAUUAAUAGGGAUAGUUGGGGGUAUUCGUAUUCAAUUGUCAGAGGUGAAAUUCUUGGAUUUAUGGAAGACGAACUACUGCGAAAGCAUUUACCAAGGAUGUUUUCAUUAA